CGAACUGGAUUAGAUACCCAGGUAGUCCACGCCGUAAACGAUGGAUGCUAGCCGUACAGAGUAUCGACCCUCUGUGUGGCGAAGCUAACGCGUUAAGCAUCCCGCCUGUGGAGUACGAGCGCAAGCUUAAAACAUAAAGGAAUUGACGGGGACCCGCACAAGCGGUGGAGCGUGUUGUUUAAUUCGAUGAUAAGCGAAGAACCUUACCCAGGCUUGACAUCCUAGGAAGGUCUCCGAAAGGAGACUGUGCCUUGUGAGCCUAGUGACAGGUGAUGCAUGGCCGUCGUCAGCUCGUGUCGUGAGAUGUUUGGUUAAGUCCAUCAACGAGCGCAACCCUUGUAAGUAGUUGAAUUUUUCUACUUAGACUGCCUCGGUAACGGGGAGGAAGGAGGGGAUGAUGUCAGGUCAGUAUUUCCCUUACGUCUGGGGCUACAAACACGCUACAAUGGCCGGUACAAAGGGCAGCCAACCCGCGAGGGGGAGCAAAUCCCAUCAAAGCCGGUCUCAGUUCGGAUAGCAGGCUGAAACUCGCCUGCUUGAAGUCGGAAUCGCUAGUAACGGUGAGUCAGCUAUAUUACCGUGAAUACGUUCCCGGGUCUUGUACACACCGCCCGUCAAACCAUGAAAGUCACCAAUACCUGACGUCUGUGCCAGUCACGGCCUAAGGUAGGGGGGAUAAUUGGGGUUAAGUCGUAACAAGGUAACCAAGGG
rnacentral:rRNA from 1 species